rnacentral:rRNA from 1 species
UACCGAAAGGUACGCUAAUACGAGAUAAUAUAUUUUUAUCGCAUGGUAGAAAUAUCAAAGCUCCGGCGGUAUAGGAUGGACCCGCGUCUGAUUAGCUAGUUGGUAAGGUAAUGGCUUACCAAGGCGACGAUCAGUAGCCGACCUGAGAGGGUGAUCGGCCACAUUGGAACUGAGACACGGUCCAAACUCCUACGGGAGGCAGCAGUGGGGAAUAUUGCACAAGGGGCGAAAGCCUGAUGCAGCAACGCCGCGUGA